rnacentral:rRNA from 1 species
GACAGAGGGUGCAAACGUUGUUCGGAAUUACUGGGCGUAAAGCGCGUGUAGGCGGCUUUGCAAGUCGGGUGUGAAAGCCCUCAGCUCAACUGAGGAAGUGCGCCCGAAACUGCAGAGCUUGAGUGCCGGAGAGGGUGGCGGAAUUCCCCAAGUAGAGGUGAAAUUCGUAGAUAUGGGGAGGAACACCGGUGGCGAAGGCGGCCACCUGGACGGUAACUGACGCUGAGACGCGAAAGCGUGGGUAGCAAACAGG